rnacentral:rRNA from 1 species
GAUGAACGCUGGCGGCGUGCCUAAUACAUGCAAGUCGAGCGAACGGACGAGAAGCUUGCUUCUCUGAUGUUAGCGGCGGACGGGUGAGUAACACGUGGAUAACCUACCUAUAAGACUGGGAUAACUUCGGGAAUCCGGAGCUAAUACCGGAUAAUAUUUUGAACCGCAUGGUUCAAAAGUGAAAGACGGUCUUGCUGUCACUUAUAGAUGGAUCCGCGCUGCAUUAGCUAGUUGGUAAGGUAACGGCUUACCAAGGCAACGAUGCAUAGCAGACCUGAGAGGGUGAUCGGCCACACUGGAACUGAGACACGGUCCAGACUCCUACGGGAGGCAGCAGUAGGGAAUCUUCCGCAAUGGGCGAAAGCCUGACGGAGCAACGCCGCGUGAGUGAUGAAGGUCUUCGGAUCGUAAAACUCUGUUAUUAGGGAAGAACAUAUGUGUAAGUAACUGUGCACAUCUUGACGGUACCUAAUCAGAAAGCCACGGCUAACUACGUG